UGGUUUUGGUUGUUAGGUGAUGCCAUCGGCUUAUCGAAAGAUGAAAAAUUCCAAUUUCCAAUAAGACAGUUAAUUAGGGUUUAUGAAUUGGUUUUAAUCGAAAGAUGAAGAAUUCCAAUUUCCAAGUCGGACAGUUAAUUAGGGUUUAUGAAUUGGUUUGGGCUCAAUAAUGAUGAAAUAACAAAAUAAUUAACGAUUUUUUAACUAAAAAAUAAGA
rnacentral:lncRNA from 1 species